UAGCCUUAGGCAGUAGCCAGUAGUCUGUGACGCUGACGAUUCCUGAUUUAAGCAGCAAUUAAUUUUUAACGGACCAUGCUGGUGUGCCAUAGCUUGAAAAAGACGUCUAAAUUGGAGUACCUCAUCACCCUUUCAUCGAUGGCGACAGUCAUGGCAUGACGUAUUCUUCUUUUCAGUUGGGAACUUCAUUUUGCAGGGCUGUAACGCCACACUGCAAGAGUAUGAUUUCCAAAUACCCUUAUCUUCGAAACCUUCCGAACAGUUCAAGAGCUUCCACUUCAGCUGUUCAUUGCCUUCUUUAAGUUUCUUAAUGUGUACUCCACUGCAAAUUUCUAGUUGUUCAAAUAUUUGUAUGCUGUCCUUUAUCAUCUCAAUUGAAGUUGCCUUGUUUGGCAACAAAUUUGAUGUGUCUGUUACUUUUGAUCCAUUGACUUCGUAAUAAAUGUUGUUGUUCUUCAGCAUAAUGUUCCUUUUUAUGGAAAUGGUUUCACUAUCUAUUCCAACUUGGAAAAUUUUAAAGGCAUUUUCAAAAAUAUCCUUGUUGUAAUACCAGUUCUUCUUUUCCCCAGUUAAGUUGUUCUCCAUCAAUAAUUAUUUGUGUCUGACAGUUUUGAACAUCAGAAUUGAUCAAGCACACCCCAGCAUUAGUAAUGUCUUCUGGUGGAAUACUGAUUUCUUUUCCAUCGAUAAUCGUUUCUGUCUGACAGUUAGUAACUUCCGAAUUGUUUAAGCACAUGACAACAUUGGUAAUGUCUUCUGGUGGAAUAUUAUCUUCCUCUUCAUUAAUCUUGUCAAUCUCAUUUGACGUUUCAAAUUCAAUUUCAGUUACUCUUGACGUUUUGGAAAUACUGUCAGUUUCUUUACUACUGUUACAUAGCUUCCUUUUUCUAUCUGCAGACAUUCUUGAAAAGUGUUCUGGGCAAUCUAUGUACAAAAUGUAAUUGAUUAGUUGUGACACUUGCUUUAAACUUGACAACAUAUACAAUACAAACUUUGAAAUAUU